AUUGAACGCUGGCGGCAGGCUUAACACAUGCAAGUCGAACGGUAACAUAAAGAAGCUUGCUUCUUUGAUGACGAGUGGCGGACGGGUGAGUAAUGCUUGGGAAUCUAGCUUAUGGAGGGGGAUAACUACGGGAAACUGUAGCUAAUACCGCGUAAUAUCGAAAGAUUAAAGUGUGGGACCUUCGGGCCACAUGCCAUAGGAUGAGCCCAAGUGGGAUUAGGUAGUUGGUGAGGUAAAGGCUCACCAAGCCGACGAUCUCUAGCUGGUCUGAGAGGAUGACCAGCCACACUGGGACUGAGACACGGCCCAGACUCCUACGGGAGGCAGCAGUGGGGAAUAUUGCGCAAUGGGGGCAACCCUGACGCAGCCAUGCCGCGUGAAUGAAGAAGGCCUUCGGGUUGUAAAGCUCUUUCGGUAGCGAGGAAGGCAUUUAGUUUAAUAGACUAAGUGAUUGACGUAACUACAGAA
rnacentral:rRNA from 1 species